rnacentral:rRNA from 1 species
GACGAACGCUGGCGGCGUGCUUAACACAUGCAAGUCGAACGAAGAGCGAUGGAAGCUUGCUUCUAUCAAUCUUAGUGGCGAACGGGUGAGUAACGCGUAAUCAACCUGCCCUUCAGAGGGGGACAACAGUUGGAAACGACUGCUAAUACCGCAUACGAUCUGACCUCGGCAUCGAGGAUGGAUGAAAGGUGGCCUCUAUUUAUAAGCUAUCACUGAAGGAGGGGAUUGCGUCUGAUUAGCUAGUUGGAGGGGUAACGGCCCACCAAGGCGAUGAUCAGUAGCCGGUCUGAGAGGAUGAACGGCCACAUUGGGACUGAGACACGGCCCAGACUCCUACGGGAGGCAGCAGUGGGGAAUCUUCCGCGAUGGACGAAAGUCUGACGGAGCAACGCCGCGUGAGUGAUGACGGCCUUCGGGUUGUAAAGCUCUGUUAAUCGGGACGAAAGGCCUUCUUGCGAAUAGUUAGAAG